GUGUACAUCAUUGGGAAUGGAGGGAAAUAAAUGACUGGAUGGUCGCUGCUUUUUAAGUUUCAAAUUGACAUUCCAGACAAGCGGUGCCUGAGCCCGUGCCUGUCUUCAGAUCUUCACAGCACAGUUCCUGGGAAGGUGGAGCCACCAGCCUCUCCCUGACAAGCAAAGUGGAUCAGCAAAGGCUGCAGUCACCAGCAUCUUUUCCAACCUUAAUGAACUGUAUCCUCAAAAGAACACUAUCAGACUGGCUCUGCCGACUUCCAGUUCUGGAACAAGAUGGUUAAACUCAUUUUUCCCUGCUCUGCUCCUCUAAAUACAACUAAGUACCUUGGAAACUAUUCAGCAGACAAUGAUAAAGGGCUCUGAAAGCUAGAAGAAAAGGUGUACUUGCAAGAAACCUCAGGACUUGAGUAACAGCAACAUGGCAGGCCAGAAAGCAGACCCAGGGAGGAUAGCACAUGUCUUCGGCUACACUGGUGAAGGCAUCGUGCCUGCUCCACAGCACAUUUUUAUUCAAGAACAAUCCAUUUCACAGAUGAAGAAACAGACUCAGUGAGCACGUGAUCACUUCUCACAACUAAUGGAGCCAAGAUUCUGUCCUUAUGGCUCCAGAGACCUCUUUUUUUUCCCACUGUACCACAACACUCACCAGGACUGGAGUGCCACCUAUGACCUCAUUGCAUAAUGGAUGGCUUGUCCUCAAAUGGGCCCGGGUAUGUGUACAUGUAUACUUAUGUCUAUAGGGGAGAGGGGAAAUUGACCCACUUUCCUCCACUCUAACUCCAGAUCUCAGCUGCCGAGUGGAAACCCCAUUCUCACACCAUAGCUAUGGGACUGGGGGAAAGGGGAGGAAAUAACUAAAGAGUAAGGAAUUGGGGGAGGCUUUGAGGUUUGGAUGUGACAGGUAGUUUGCAUGUAGUUGGAAUGCAGUAACAUUGGUCCACAAGGUUUGUCAGAAACCCUGGUUAUUUUGGAAGGUUCCAAAGUUUUGUCCUCUUCAGAUAUCAUGAAAACAGGAAAUUCUGUAAACAUGGCCACUGAAGGGCUAGCUCAUUUCUUGGAAAAGGAGUUUCUGGAGAGUUCUCAGAGCAUAUAAAUAGCAGGGCCAUAAAGACAAAGGUAACCAUUCAAGGAAUAGAGAAGUAUAUUCUCAAAAAUUACACGCCAAGCCAGAGCUGUGGUUCAGAAAGGGGGUUUUAUGUUGUUUCUGUUGUUGUUUCAGUUUUGGCCUCAGAAAGGAUGCGCGGCCCUGCUGUAAACAGCCUCUCAGCACUGGGAAGGGGUGUGCUUACGAGGCUGGUGUAGACAUCCAGAGCCUAGCCUAGAUAGGAAGGCCCAGGCACCCACAGGGAGGCCUGCUUUGACAGAGAAGCAUUUCUGUUUAGAAGAGGGCACCUGGGAGAUAUUUCCAGAGAGCUUCUUAUGACUUGUCAUGUAGCUCUUCCCCCAUGUUUUCUGCAGCUGGAGGUACCAUGCACCUUUGAGGGACCAAGGACCCAAGACUUGAGGUAGACACUAUUCCCAGCUGGAUACUCUCAAUGUUGAGGAUAUAGAUGCACAAACCAAUGCAGGGAGGCCUCCAGGAGCCACUGGAGAAGAAAUCUUCAGAUCCUACCAGGCCCAUAGCUGUUGCCUUUGUGGGCUCCUGGGUUAAUUUCCACACAUCAGUGGCCCACCUUAUGAUAUCCUCCCUGCAUGCCACACUCCCGGCCAUGCUCUGUGGACAGCCAUUAUUUCCAGUAAUUGCUAAUGGGAGCCAGUCUCCAAAGAGUAAUGAAUCAGAGGUGUUCCUUGGAAUGUGUUACACUAGGACUUCGCCGAUCUCACAGGCUCCUUUCCAGAUGAGCUGACUGUAAUCUCUGGGAAGCUGGAUCUGGAGGAACAAUGGGAUGGGAUUUGCGGUGACCCUUCCUGCCCUUCUUGAGCAGCUUGUGAACCAGAAGAUGUGCCUGGAGAGAAAGCCUCAUUUGGGGAAGUGCAGUAGUCGAAGUUCUUUAUUUUGAAAAUGGAGAACAACCCUUCUCACAAUCCUGUCUCCCCUUCCCCCUUUCCAACUAGAAUAUCAGCUCCCCUGAACAUGAGUCAGUCACAUUUCAGGGAAAACUGGCUGAUGUUGAAGAAAUCACUUGAGGGCAAACUUUGUCCUUCAAGCUGUGGGUCUCUGAAGUGUAGAGCCAGCAGAUCCCCCAGUGUAGGGACUGGGCCUUCCUUGCCCAUUGAAUGCUUUCUAUACAUGAAGACUUGGAGCUCUUUACAGAUGACAGUAGCCAGUGAGGAAGAUAAAAGAAGAGAAAAGACCCAAAAUGCGGGUUUGCCACUCUUUUUUGCCAGCACCGUGGGGACAGUCACUCUGCCUUCUUUCCACCACCUCCAACUUCACACUCACACGCACACUCUGGUCCCACAGAGCCUGUUUGGUACUUGCCUGACAGCCCACCUUGAAACCAGAUGGUCAUGAACCUGUCACCAAGUCAUCUGAAGAUCUUCCACUGCAACCUGUAUGGCAUCUGCCACAGGGACCAUGGGACAUGAUUGAAGAACCACUCCAGUGCAGUUGAUGAAGGGGUGGGUCUGCACUGGAGUUAGGUGCACCAGGGCCUGGGCCAAGGGUGGGCUGGGUCCAUCUUGUGUGUGGUGGUCUUCUUCAGAGUAGCAGCUGAUUCAGAGGGAUUCCAUAGAACUGCACAGGCUAGGUCUAGUCAGAUAUCUUGGACAUUUUCUAUUUCUAGAUUAGAGAAUAUAGCAUACGCUGAUUUUAAUAUAACUGUGUAUGUGACUUUUUCAGUGAGAAAAAUUUUAAGUGAUGUUCUAAACAAUUUUUGGCAUGUAGACAGAAUAGUCAAAUAUCUGUUUAACUAGCAACAUAGUUACUCGUGCAUAUUUAAAAUACUACAUGAGUAUGGCCUGGCACAGUGGCUCAUGCCUGUAAUCCUAGCACUCUGGGAGGCCGAGGUGAGCAUAUUGCCUGAGUUCAGUUUGAGACCACUUUGGACAACAUGGUGAAACCCUGACUCUAUAAAAAUACAAAAAUGUAGCCAGGUGUGGUGGUGCGUGCCUGUAGUCCCGGCUACUUGGGAAGCUGAGGUGCAAGAAUUGCCUGAACCUGAGAGGCAGAGGUUGCAGUGACCUGAGAUUGUGUCACUGCACUCCAGCCUAGGUGACAGAGCAAGACUACAUCUCAAAAAAUAAAACAAAAUAAAAUAGGCCCUGUGCCGUGGCUCACGCCUGUAAUUCCAGCAUUUUGGGCAGCUGAGGCGGGCAGACCACCUGAGGUCAGGAGUUCAAGACCAGCCUGACCGACAUGGUGAAACCCCAUCUAUACUAAAUACAAAAAAUUAGCCAGGUAUGGUGAUGCAUGCCUGUAGUCCAAGCUACUUGGGAGGCUGAGGCAGGAGAGAAUGGCUUCAACCUGGGAGGCAGAGGUUGCAGUGAGCCGAGAUUGCGCCACUGCACUCCAGCCUGGGUGAUAGAGCAAGACUUCGUCUCAAACAAUAAAAUAAUAAAAUAAAAUAAAAUAAAAUAAAAUAAAAUAA
ensembl:lncRNA MIR4435-2HG MIR4435-2 host gene